GCAGGAUGCCACUCGUGUGCUUUGGUAAUAGCGGCUGUAACAGCCUUGGUUGUUCUGAUGUCUACUGGUGGUGUCAGUGGAAUUCCCAAAUUUCCUGCAAGAAAAUUGCAAAUUAAAAGGAUUCUCAUUCUGCUUUUAUUUAUGGAUGGGGAGUAUGUGGUGCCAUGGAUGGAGUCUUGCCCCCUCAUUCCGUACACUAUGUUAGUCUUCUGUGUCCAAUGCCAUUUUACAUUUGAAUGCGAUUGUAUAAUUUUGUUAAGUUCUGGCUCUCACCUACGCUUGAAAGUUUGUUACCCACUGCUGGUGGCACACUUGCACUUGUGUGACAUUUUUUU